rnacentral:rRNA from 1 species
UGGGGAAUAUUGGACAAUGGGCGAAAGCCUGAUCCAGCCAUGCCGCGUGUGUGAAGAAGGUCUUCGGAUUGUAAAGCACUUUAAGUUGGGAGGAAGGGCAGUAAGCGAAUACCUUGCUGUUUUGACGUUACCGACAGAAUAAGCACCGGCUAACUCUGCGCCAGCAGCCGCGGUAAUACAGAGGGUGCAAGCGUUAAUCGGAAUUACUGGGCGUAAAGCGCGCGUAGGUGGUUCGUUAAGUUGAAUGUGAAAGCCCCGGGCUCAACCUGGGAACUGCAUCCAAAACUGGCGAGCUAGAGUAGGGCAGAGGGUGGUGGAAUUUCCUGUGUAGCGGUGAAAUGCGUAGAUAUAGGAAGGAACACCAGUGGCGAAGGCGACCACCUGGGCUCAUACUGACACUGAGGUGCGAAAGCGUGGGGAGCAAACAGG